rnacentral:pre_miRNA from 1 species
AUAUGUAUUACCUGAGAAUCUUGUUAAAAUGCAGAUUCUGAUUCAGUGGACGUGCUGUGAGGCCUAAGAUUCUACAUUUCCAAUCUGCUUCCAGAUGAUGCUGCU